CACCACGCAAACCCUCACACCUUUCUCUCAGCUCUCGCACCAGCCGUUACCUCGCCGCCGGCGCCACCGCGCCGUCGCGCCGCCAUGCUCCGCCUCCGAUGCUGCAUCCUCACCCAGCUCCUCUCGUCCUCCUCCGCUUCCCCGGUCUCUCCUCUCCGCGGCCGCUGCCCCUUGCAUUUCCCCAGGCUGGACCUCGCCGGCGGCUGCUCCGCAACAGCCUGGUGUCCGAAGCAACGGCUGCGCCCCCUUCCCGCGCCGAUCCCACGGUGCGGCUUCUUCCUCGAGCUGCUCGGGGCCUGCUUCGACGGCGGCGCCGUCGCAGGAGUCCUUGUCCAUGACGAAGAGGUUGAGCAGCUUGAGGAUGCAUUAGAAGAAACCCCGGCACGCCAUGGCCGGACGGAUCGAUUGAUUGAGCAGGCGGCUCCUGGAUGUAUUAAACCACGUGGGGAAGAAGCCCAGGCGCUCCUCGAGGAGGCAGUCAGCAUAGGGGAGGAAUCGGCCAGGGUCGCGCGCGAGGUAGGGGCUCUGGUCCCGGUGGUGCUUGAGGAGGCGAGCGGAAAUGGGGAAUGAGCUCCGUCUUCAACCGGAGCUGAGAUGAUGUAUGACAUGCUAUAAGAGACAAUCCUACAUAUGUGGGUAGAAUAACAGAGGGUGUAACAUUUCCAGCAAGGUUUUUAGUAUUAAAGAGGAAAAAAUCUGAAGGCACACAAGAUUGUUCCUGGAAAACAAUAUGAAGACCAGAAAACUUUUGCAAGCAUGUAGGGUUCAUGUGUGUCAUUUCAAACAAACUAACUCAUGUGUGCAGGAUAAGUUGGUCGUGUGGGGCUUAUAAAGGGGACACAGACCGUGUGGAGCUUAAAAAGGUAUAACGUGAGGACACUAGGAUAUUCACAAAACGAGCUGAACUAGCUAGAUUCGAGGAAAUGUGUGGGAAGUAUGUGCUCAGUUUCUUUACACCUAUAUUCUUUCAGUUUCUUUACACCUAUAUUCUUUCAGUUUCUUUGCAUAUUCAGAGUUGAAGGCCUAUGUUUUUUUAAGGUGAUUCGCGAGUUUCAUAAACUUUGCUGAAUCGACCAGGAAAUACACGCAAGGAAUGCAAACAAUAUAUGGUUCUGAUGCUGCGAUAAUUUUCUUCUUAUGAUGUUCCAUCUGAGUAGUCACGACCUUGUAUAAUGGCGAAAUUUGAUGAAGAUUUAAAAAACAAAGAAAUGAAAUGAAACUGAACGAGGGACAUAAAAGUGAAAAGACGACCCAAAUGAAAAGAAGACCCAGUGAGGUUCCAAGGAAUAGUUAUUUCUAAUUAUAACUGCAGUUAUCUGAAAAACAUAAAUGAAAAUAAUUGAUUAUGUGAUGGAUUAAUGUUGAGUUUUAGUUGCCUGGUUUGAUACUGAUCAUGAAAGGGCUUAUACUUCUAUUUAUAUGUUCGGCUAACUUGUUUUGUUCCUACAAUAUUGUUUCUCUUUGGCAAACAUAACUACGUAAGUAUUAUUUUUCCGUGGACCUGUCAAUUUUCUGCCCCGAAACUCAUUCGCCCACAUAAUUCAUUUUCAUGCAUUUUGGUAUUAUCUGCAGUGUGAAUGAGAUACAUUGUUAUGCAUAGAUGAAAUGUUGUACAAUCCAUGAGCUAAUCUAUCUCUAUGCAUAUAUAGUUAGUUGGCAUAGAGUGCGAGUGUUUCAUACAACGGACCUCCUCUUCCUUUAAUUGUUGUCUCCUUUCCAAUCUUUGUUUUGUCUUUCCAUUAGAUUUUGGCAUGCAAUUGUAAGAAGGUUUCUUUAUUAUAGUUAUGUUGUUGGAGAUGCUUGUGAAGAGUGAGAGCUUGCCCACCUACCUAUGUUGAUGUGAAUUUUGACUAAUCUAUUUUCUUUUGCAGACGUUGAUGCGAGCAUUUCCGCUUAUUUGAAAUGUUUUUCUUCGGCAUCUUACACUUUGUUGUUCUCGCUCAGUUGGUCAUCCAGUAAGGAUGUGACAGAGCCACGGAGGGUCCUUUCUAUAUGCAGUGAUGCUAAGGGAUUUGGGAGUCUUUCGUGGAUGAGGCUUGAAAUGAUGUGAACAAAGAGGAUAAUACAUCAAGCAGAGCUGAAUCCAAACUGACCAAAAGCAGUGAGAACUUGAAAACUUUUCCAUUUGCAUUACACGGUGGUCGGAGCCGCCGUCCAUGUUCAAAACCAAGGUGCCGCAGAAAACGGCUACGGCUGAAGAUAGGCACGGCUGGGAGGGAUCAUCAUCAUAGUUUAAGGGCAAGAGCAAGCAUGAAGUUAUUCCUGACUCCGCUCUCUUUAUCCUUGAUGAAUUGCGAGAGGAGAAAACACAGAAAGUCGAGAUGAGGGGCUGGCAAGACAGCUCCAGGAACAACUAGGCAUUUCUCUAAGGGCAGGAACAACUACGUAGUAGACUUGCAGGAUUUUCAUUUCACUUUUUUUAUUUUCUUUUUAAAACAAGUCCGUCAGCUGCUCAGAUGGAUGCACUAGUUUUUCUUCUGUGAUGAGUCUCGCUGAUGGAAGACACUAGUUUAUCAGUCGGAGUCCGUCAGGUACGAGUGUGAGCGCCCCGAACGUGCGCGAUCCAUGAGGGCACGGAAAACCACCCGUACCACUGUACAGAAACCACGAACCACGUCACAACAAUUGCUCUAAUAACCGAGAACAUCGACCCGUCAACACCGGCAAAUCAGGAGGCAGCUUUGCCAUAUCUAGGGACGGCUCCAUCUGGGGGAGGUCGGGCGGGCGGGCUUGUGCGCCCAAUCUCAGAUCUAUGGCUUGUUUCUUUCUUGAUAUAUACUAUAUAUGCGUAGUGUCAUUGUGGAUGUGGGGCCACGCGGCGUGAUACGCGUUGUUAAAUUACCGCCUGAAGUGGCCAGGUCGCGCCCUCGUGAACCUGGACGCCAUGGGUGCUUCUCUUUUGAACGGUAAGACUCCUCCAUCAGUUCCAUACGAAUCCUUUGCUGCAUCUUUGCAGGUGCUACCUCGAUUUCAAACCGCAGAUUGUUCGGAUCGUGGGUCUCCGUGUACCCUUCUCCGAUCCCCGUUUGGUACUCAAUCCAUCGACCCAGGACUUCUGCACUGAAUGGGCCUAUCUGCACUACAAUGCACCAUCCACAAAGAAUGCCAGGUGGGUUUCUGGUCCACUAUGCCAUGGAAGCCCAUUUCCGGCCGAGCUGCCCUCCUCGUCGGCCGAGCUGGGAUGGUGCACUCUGCACCGGCCCAGCAUCAAAAGCCCUUCGCAACGGCCCGACCUCUUCUAUCAAUCGAAGCGACCUGGGUGGCGGCUCCUGCUUCGCUCUCGCAAUCUUCCCUCCUCCUCCUCCGAAGAGCGACGGCGGCGGCUGCGGGCGAACGGCGGAUCCACCGGCGGAAGGCGAACAGAGAAGCCACAGGGAGAAGGCAAGAAGGGUUUGGAAGAAGGCAAUCCGCGAGUCCACCCGCAGAAGGCUAGCCGCGAGUCCACCUGCAGAAGGCUAGCAGCGAACCCACUGGAAGAAGGCAACCAGAAGAACCCCCUUGGUUGAAUCCGUUCGGAGCCUGCUCUAGGGUUUGGAAUCACGAGAACAAGGCGUCUGAACUGUCGGGCCGCCCUACUGGUCAUUUGGGUUUGAGUGCACUUUGCUAUCUCUUGAGCCGUCCUGCUGGUCAUUUGGGUUUGAGUGCACUUUGCUAUCUCUGGUGUCUAAACUACUGGAUUUGAGUCUGUCCAAGGUGUUCUGAGUGAAUAUUGCAAUCUGGUGUCUACUGUCUAGUCUACUGGAUUUGUGGCCGUCCAAGGUGUUUUGAGUGAAUUCUGCAAUCUUCUAUGUUUUCUUCCUGUCUGCUAUCAAACGUGAAAUGUGGUGCCUGCCUUGUGGUGCGAUUCUCCCCAUUGUAGGCUGUGUCCUGAAGGCUGGCAAUAUUAUAUGCAUUUAGAAGUCCUUUCAGGUUCUUACUAAUGGCCGCUGAAAUUCACCGAAACCAGUCACUACUUGACAUGGAUGCAUUUAUCGCCGCUGAGCGUCAUGCACAUGCCCUUACAGAGGAGAGAGCCAAUAGUCCUCAGAACAGGCAGAGGUCCAUUCGUGAUGUCUUCUGCAUCAAUCUGUCUGCAGAUCCAUCUUCUGAACAACUAACUGCGUACUAUGCGGAAAGCAAUGCACGUUCACUCAAUAUCUCUUCAUUAAGAGUGCCUGGAAGGUUGAGAGAUGGCACUCUUAUCGAAGUACCAGUUACUCCGGCAACACCGAAGAAUAUUGAGGACACGAGUCAUCACAUCGUGCCUUUCCAUCGAGAGUCAGAUAGAGCUGUGGCAGAAGUUUUAGUGGAGGAUUAUAGUGGAUAUGCUGUUGCGUCCAGAUUUAUCCCGCCUAAAGUUAAGAAGGCAACAGUACAUUUUUGUCACUUUGGUGGGGCCAAGCUGGCCGCAAGGUUUCAGCCAGUGCAUCCAACCAAGUAUGGUCCAGCUUAUGCGCAUCUCGACAAGGUCAGGCUUGGAGUUGGCAUUGUCCCUCAGAUGGUUACUUUUCUGGAGAAGCUUAGCAAGAACCCUGAGCAGGCUGCUACCCAGUAUGGGUAUAUCAUGUUGGCGACCCUUUAUGUUUUGGUCUCUGAAGGCCGGAGGUUUUGGGUUAUCCAGGAAUGGAAUGUAGCGAAUAUCCAGGGUUUCAAACAGGAGCUUUUGCCCCGUCGCUUUUUCUUUCUUGUCAAAAAAUGGCUUGCUCUUAGCAAGUGUUGUUAUUUGGCUUAUCUGGUUAUCCUUGAGAGGACGCGGCUUGCUGUGAAUGCAACAGCUGCUUUAACUUCAAGUGAUGCAAAGGCUAAUGCCGUGGAGGAAUGGUGAAGAUGUCGAUGCAACUGGACUGGUGUUCUAUCAACCUGGAGUCGACAUAGACCUCAACUUACUUGCAGGUGGUCAGUUGCUUCUCCUAAGGCACGACUCUGUCCUCUGCGACAAAGUUCUCAUGCGUUCCAACGGUUAUGAUGGCUACUGGGCGAAGGACAUCCAAAUCGAGGCGUCAGAAAUACCUCUGGAUCCUGAUAAGUGGGAGUUGCUCUGAUAGCACAUCCAAGUCUAGACCACCAACUUCUUUUUGUGUCGGUCUGAAAUUGUUUUGUCAUUCGUAUACUUCUUCUGCCCUGUUGAGGGUUCUAAUCAUUGUUGUUCAGCUCUGAUGUGUUCCUGUAGUGCCCUCGUUGUGGCUGCUAGCGUGUAUCUUCUUUCUUGACUAGUGUAUGUUCCUGUACUGGUCCUUACUGUAGUGCCCUUACUGAGGCUUUAUAUCCAUGUACUCGCUACAUCGUGAAUUAGUGAAUAUAUGAAGGCAGGAUGAAUAUAUGAGGUAGAA